rnacentral:lncRNA from 1 species
UUUUUCUCUCUCCUCAUUUAAACAGGAUAGCCACUGAGCAAGCCUGUAAGGCUAUUGGUCUGCCCAUUCUGGUUUCUUCACCAAUGAGAAAACUGGGACCUGGGGAGUUUGCAGAAGCCAUCCAAAGGCACCUGCUUCUCACAGCACAGCAGCUUCUUGCAGCCCUCCCUCCUGUCUUGUUUCUCCCUUGGUUGAGAGGAGAGGCCAGAACCGGAUGCAGCCAGUUCCAACAGUAAUGAAUUGCUCUAAGGUGUGGAGCCAAGAACCGGUGACAAGGUCAGGAAAUUCCACCCUGGGGCACUGACCCAACUAAGAGACUGUGCAUGAUGGCUAAGUUCAGAGCUCUGAGGAGAUGGUAAAACUCAUUUGCAAUGAAACAAGCUAUUUCCCAACUCUGCAGCCAGCUCCUCUUCCCCUUAGGCUGUGAGUGGAUGCAGCCUGAGGCCUCCCCAGAAGCAGAUCCUGGCGCUGUGCUUUCUGUAUAGCCUGCAAAACUGUACAGAAAGCUGGAAGUGAUGCUCCAGGGAGUUAUGUCUCCCCAUCUUGACCCACAGCAAUACCUGAGGCUUGUUG